rnacentral:rRNA from 1 species
GACGGAAGGUGCAAGCGUUGCUCGGAAUCACUGGGCGUAAAGGGUGCGUAGGCGGCCGUGCAAGUCUGGCGUGAAAGCCCCGGGCUCAGCCCGGGAAGUGCGCUCGAAACUGCGCGGCUCGAGUGCGGAGGGAGAGUGGAAUCCUGGUGUAGCGGUGAAAUGCGUAGAUAUCAGGAAGAACACCACGGCGAAGGCAGCUCGCUGGGACGGUACUGACGCUG